rnacentral:rRNA from 1 species
UACGUAGGGAGCAAGCGUUGUCCGGAAUCAUUGGGCGUAAAGCGCGCGUAGGCGGCCCGAUAAGUCCGCUGUGAAAGUCAACGGCCCAACUGUUGGAUGCCGGUGGAUACUGUCGGGCUAGAGUACGGAAGAGGCAAGUGGAAUUCCUGGUGUAGCGGUGGAAUGCGCAGAUAUCAGGAGGAACACCUAUAGCGAAGGCAGCUGGCUGGGACGUGACUGACGCUAAGGCGCGAAAGCGUGGGGAGCGAACAGG